GUUUUGAAAAUGUGUAAUUAAUUGUAUCCAUUAUUUAACUCAUAAUUGACUAUUUGUUAUGUGUGUAGAUCAUUUGUUGUAAAAUGUCAUAUUGUUUAUACUGUGACUCCUAUCUCAUGUCUUAAUGGCCUGAUUGUGUUAGUACAGUGAUAGAUGAGAGCGUGUGGCUGGCUCCCUCCCUCCCAUCCCCAGCUCAGCCCUAGUCCCAUCUCCAGCUCAGCCCUAGUCCCAUCUCCAGCUCAGCCCUAGUCCCAUCUCCAGCUCAGCCCUAGUCCCAUCUCCAGCUCAGCCCUAGUCCCAUCUCCAGCUCCACCCUAGUCCCAUCCCCAGCCCUAGUCCCAUCCCCAGCUCAGACAUAGUCCCAUCCCCAGCUCAGCCCUAGUCCCAUCUCCAGCUCAGCCUUAGUCCCAUCCCCAGCUCAGCCUUAGUUCCAUCCCCAGCUCAGCCCUAGUCCCAUCCCCAGUCCUAGUCCCAUCCCCAGCCCUAGUCCCAUCCCCAGACCUAGGACCAUCCCCAGCUCAGACCUAGUCCCAUCCCCAGUCCUAGUCCCAUCCCCAGCUCAGACCUAGUCCCAUCCCCAGCUCAGACCUAGUCCCAUCCACAGCCCUAGUCCCAUCCCCAGCCCUAGUCCCAGCCCUACUCCCAUCCCCAGCUCAGACCUAGUCCCAUCCCCAGUUUAGCCCUAGUCCCAUCCCCAGUUUAGCCCUAGUCCCAUCCCCAGCUCUAGUCCCAUCCCCAGCCCUAGUCCCAUCUCCAGCUCAGACCUAGUCCCAUCCCCAGCCCUAGUCCCAUCCCCAGCUCUAGUCCCAUCCCCAGCUCAGACCUAGUCCCAUCCCCAGCCCUAGUCCCAUCCCCAGCCCUAGUCCCAUCCCCAGCCCUAGUCCCAUCCCCAGCUCUAGUCCCAUCCCCAGCUCAGACCUAGUCCCAUCCCCAGCCCUAGUCCCAUCCCCAGCUCAGACCUAGUCCCAUCCCCAGCCCUAGUCCCAUCCCCAGCUCAGCCCCUAUUAAAUGUCAUUAGUCUGAGUCAUACGUAUGAAUGUAUUGAUUAGAUGCAGAGAUGGGAUGCAGGGAUCCAUUGAAGAGAUUUACCAGGUGGAACAAAGUCAUGUAAUCAAUCACCAUUCUCCCAGGAGGCUACUGACCUGGGCAACCUGCUCUACACGACACUGAGCCAUUCAUAAGGGCUGAGUCCCAAAUGGGACCAUAUUCCCUAUAUAAUGCACUACGUUUGACCAGGGCCACAUGGGCCAUUAGGGAGUUAUUGAGGGUAGGGAUGAGAAUAGACUACAUUGUAUACUGUUUUGGUUUCAAUAAUAUAAACCUCUUAUGAAAUGUUUUUUAUAUCACCCACUGCACAGGGCCUUUCUCAAGGGUUUGGUCUUUUUAACUAUUAAACCAUGGCAGCUGCUGCUAGCCCUUUUGAA
ensembl:lncRNA